UACAGAGACCUCAAGCGUUAUCCGGAAUCAUUGGGCGUAAAGCGUUCCGAUCGGUGGUUUAGUGUGUCUGAAGUGAAAGACCGGAGCUUAACUCCGUGUUUGCUUUGGAAACUGCUAAGCUAGAGUAGUAAAGGGGUGGCUAGAACUCUGCAAGUAGCGGUGAAAUGCGUUGAUAUGCAGGGGAAUACCGAAAGCGAAGGCAGGCCACUGGGUACUUACUGACACUGCUAGGACGAAAGCGUGGGGAGCGAAUAGG
rnacentral:rRNA from 1 species